UUUCUCUUAGCGCUCCUCUUUUUCUUUUCUUUUCUUUUCUUUUCUCUUCUCCUUUUCUCUUUCGAGCGAACAGUUCUGCGCGAUGACUUAUUAAGGGGAAACCUGUUGCGUCCAGAGAAUGUUUUCACUUGACAUUGUUAUGGGCUGAGUGUGUGUGUGUGUUCGUUUGUAAGAGUGUGUGUGCUGUGUGAUUCUCUCUGUGACUGUGUGUGUCAGUGUGUUCCGGGCCGGGCAUUCGUUCACGUAUGCAUUAGUGUGUAUCUGUGUGCGGAUCUAACUUGGUUUACAACUUGCGGCCGAAUUCAACUUGUUGCAUGCUUUUUUCGCCUCUUAGUAUAUUUUUCUUAAACAUUGAUUGGAUUAUUAACUUUUUUCCGUUUCGAAAACACUCGUUUUUUAUGAAAAUUAUUAUUUUCGAUUUGAUUUAAUUUAUUCGAUUUCUUUUUUUCCGUGUCUUGUUUUGGAUUGCGAUUUAAAUUGAGUUAAACUAAUUUUUUUCGAAUGCUCUGUGUUUAUGGUACAGUGGAUUUGCCGGGCCCAUGAAUAAUGGCAUUUAAUACGGGUGGUUAAUAUUAUUAAUAAUUUGAGUACCGGUAGUGCGACCGCAUCCAAACACGAAACUAUAUUUUAUUUUGAUAAAUUAUAUAUCAUUUGGUUUUUUUUGUCAAAAAUAUGGAUAGCUUUGUGGAAUCCACGGAACUAGAUUUCGUAGCAAAAUUCGACACUAUUUCUGUUGUUUCAUUGUUCGCGGCUAAAAUUUUUGUGAGACCAUUUUUUCCAUUUUCUGGCUACGAAUGCCCAUUUUUACGGCUCAUGCUGCUAGCAACAUGUUGCUGUCCACAAGCGCCACCUCGUUCGGCUAAUACCCCUUGUGCUUAAAAAAAAAACGGUGGGAUAAAAGAGGGUAUGGACAACAGGCAAAGAGGCCCAGAAAAUAAAACGCAUGCAAUAUUACAAUAACAGGUUAAAAUAUUAUAGAAAGUGCACCAAGGGAACGAAUUUUUUCGGAGAUUUUUUGUUGGUAUUUGAUUUGGCCGGCUCUAGUCUUGCGAUAGGUUGAUCUUGUCAACACUAUGCACAUGUGCAGUCCACAGAUAGCUGAGCCUUUUGCUUUGUCAUAUGAAGGCUGAAGCCGUUGCCGGAUUUGGGGACGGACUGCAGCAGCGACGUCAGAGGCGGCAUAAAGUGAUGUACUUUCGAAGCAAGAUCCGGUUUAAAGCUGCUUGUGCCUGGGCAAGAGAUACAGAUACACCGUCAGACGAUGGCAACUACACUAUGACAAAAUGCUUUUGUAAUAGAUUAGGUUCGGAAUAGCCCCAUUAAUGCCAUCUGUAUCCAACAUGACCCAGCAUUAAACAUUGAAAAAAUGA